CAGUAGCGUAUAUAAAAGUUGUUGCAGUUGAAAAGCUCGUAGUUGGAUUUCUGGUUCGGAGCGGCUGGCCCGCCGUAUUUGCGGUGCGUGCCGGUGCGCCCCGGCCAUCCUUCCAAGGACCGCUUCUGCCCUUCAUUGGGUGUGGAGUUGGGACUUGGAUCGAUUACUUUGAAAAAAUUAGAGUGUUCAAAGCAGACGUUUGUCUUGAAUACAUUAGCAUGGAAUAAUGACAUAGGACUUUGGUUCUAUUUUGUUGGUUUCUAGGACUGAAGUAAUGAUUGAUAGGGAUAGUUGGGGGUGCUAGUAUUGUGCGGCCAGAGGUGAAAUUCUUGGAUUCGCGCAAGACUAACUAAUGCGAAAGCAUUCACCAAGGAUGUCUUCUUUAA
rnacentral:rRNA from 1 species